GAUGAACGCUGGCGGCGUGCUUAACACAUGCAAGUCGAACGGAAAGGCUCCUGCUUGCAGGGGUACUCGAGUGGCGAACGGGUGAGUAACACGUGGGUGAUCUGCCCUGCACUUCGGGAUAAGCCUGGGAAACUGGGUCUAAUACCGGAUAGGACGAUGGUUUGGAUGCCAUUGUGGAAAGUUUUUUCGGUGUGGGAUGAGCUCGCGGCCUAUCAGCUUGUUGGUGGGGUAAUGGCCUACCAAGGCGUCGACGGGUAGCCGGCCUGAGAGGGUGUACGGCCACAUUGGGAUUGAGAUACGGCCCAGACUCCUACGGGAGGCAGCAGUGGGGAAUAUUGCACAAUGGGCGCAAGCCUGAUGCAGCGACGCCGCGUGGGGGAUGACGGCCUUCGGGUUGUAAACUCCUUUCGCUAGGGACGAAGCGCAAGUGACGGUACCUGGAGAAGAAGCACCGGCUAACUACGUG
rnacentral:rRNA from 1 species